rnacentral:rRNA from 1 species
UCCUACGGGGGGCAGCAGUAGGGAAUCUUCCACAAUGGGCGAAAGCCUGAUGGAGCAACGCCGCGGGGGUGAAUAAGGUCUUCGGAUCGUAAAACCCUGUUGUUAGAGAAGAAAGUGCGUGAGAGUAACUGUUCACGUUUCGACGGUAUCUAACCAGAAAGCCACGGCUAACUACGUGCCAGCAGCCGCGGUAAUACGUAGGUGGCAAGCGUUAUCCGGAUUUAUCGGGCGUAAAGGGAACGCAGGCGGUCUUUUAAGUCUGAUGUGAAAGACUUCGGCUUAACCUGAGGAGUGCAUUUGAAACU